UGAACCGAAGCCAAACCAGAGCUCAAGGCCUGGGGAGAGAAAGACCUACCCUGCCCUUCCUCCCACUUCCUCUUGCACUACCUUUCCCUGUCUUGCAGUCCACAGCCGUAGCAGCCUUCACACAACCUCAGGCAGGCUACUUAGCCCUGAGAAAAGAGCCUGAACCUCUGAUCAAUAACUUUAGUCUUGUCUGCCUAAUUGCUCAUUGGUCGACAUUGGCGCCAGACUAUAUAAAACCUGACCCGAUCGGCUUCUCCUCAGUUAUCUCAGCGGGAUGAGGCUAUCCAGAGACUCCAAAGAGAUGUGUUGCUCUUUCACCAGGCCCGUGACUCUCAGGCUGCUCAGCAGCAUCAGGCACACUGGAUUAAAACCUCUGUCCAACUGAACCAGGAGCUAGAAUUAGCAGAUAAAGGCAGAUAUUAGGCCUGCCCUUGAUGGAACAGGACUGCGGCUGGCUUUAAUUCUGAGUAUCUGCUCAGGAGGAUGGGGAACCAUGGUGCAGCUUAGCCUCAGCUACAGACUGAGCAGGUUGGCUGCGCAGAGAGGAUGGGCUCUGUGUACUGGAUUGAUUUUUCUUCUCCUAUCGCUGCCGUGCCUCCUUUUGUGGUUCAGUAGCUGGACAUCCAGGAGCAAGGAUCUCUCAGUCGCUGCCUAAAUCGUGCAAGAGCCGUCUGGAUCUCCGGAGGAACAGAGUCACAUGCAGCAAUACCAAAAGCAGCUUCAGAGCAAGACUCAGCAGGCCCAGGAGCUCCAGAGUCAGCUGCAGUUAAAGGGCGUCAGAUGGAGGCAGAGAAUGACACACUAAUGGAAUGAAAUGCUCUGUGCAGAGUGCAGCAUGGGGCAGACUGGCUACAGAAAGAUCUGUAAAGAUCUGGAGGCUCAGCUGGGGCAAAGACCUACCUCGGUUAUACAGUACCAGAAUACAGGACACAGGACACCAGACACCAGGAACAGGGUGAUACAACCACUGCUUGGCCUGAUACCAUGUGGGUUCACACAGUCACAGUCGCUGCCUAAUCCCAGCAGCGCUGGCUCAGGAACAGAUUACUGCUUCCAGACACCAGAGGAGAGGAGAGGAGAGCAGAGCAGGGUGGGGGUUGGAGGGUCGAAAGAGAUGCCUCAGUGAUACAAUACAGAGAGAUUGAAGGGGCCAGCACAUACUGAAGCAAAGAUCAUGCUGCUACAUACAGAGUUGUCCAACAUGGCUGCCUUAUUCAGCGGGUACAGUGCUCCCAACCGCAGCCAACAGAAUCGUACUGUGAUUUUACAAGCCUAGGUGCAGGCUUGACUGGAGGUGAGGACUUUGUUGUCAGCAGCUGGACACAGUAGACUGCAGAGGUG